UAUGAGACUGGGGGAUUAUUUAUUUAUUUUUUUCUUUUUUGAGUGAAAACGAUGUUUCUUUUACAUUUUCUUUUCGUCUGGUUUUCUUCCACCGUUCAUGCUAUACAAGUGCUUUAUGUUUUUACUUUUCCUUUGUUGGAAAUGUGCAUCGUCAUCGGUUUGCUACAGUGACCGCCUUUCUCAGUUAAUCUGCUUCUUCGACGAUAGGAUAACAGGUUAGCUAUCGAAUUCUUGUGCAAAUCGUAGUUGAUUUAAGCAGAGAUGGUUGUAUUGAUGAAGAGGCUAAUUUAUGGUGAACAAACUUAAGCAACUUGUAGUUCUGAAGUACCUUCUGUACACUACGUGUUGUAUCCCAACACGCGGACUGCCCUCGUCUAAUUGCUAAUUUCAUCAAAGAUUCUUCAAGUCAUCUAUGCAAACCAGGUCGUUUCUUACAUGGUUUAUGAUUGCAGUAGAAUCUUGCUUUUCUUUCAUGAUCACACUUCAUUUGAAGGGUGGGAAAACACUAUUUGCAACAGGUUCUUACCAUGGAAAAUCCAAAAUAUGGAGUAAUGGUGGUAAAAUUAAGACUACCUCUUAGGUACUUUAUUGGUUUUAAAAAAAUUAUACAUUUCUAAUUUAUGGGUGAUGGUACAAGGACCAAAACCAUAGUAAGAUGAAAGUGUAGGGACAAUAUUUAGGUAAAAUGAAAUUGUACUAUUAGUUAUGAAAUUGUGACAAAAUUGUUAACUAAAAUCACACCUACUUUAUGCUAAUUAUUUAGCCUUAUGGAAGCUAUUUUUCUUUUC